AUUGAACGCUGGCGGCAUGCUUUACACAUGCAAGUCGAACGGUAACAGGGUGCUUGCACCGCUGACGAGUGGCGAACGGGUGAGUAAUGCGUCGGAACGUGCCGAGUAGUGGGGGAUAACGCAUCGAAAGGUGUGCUAAUACCGCAUACGUACUGAGGUAGAAAGUGGGGGACCUUCGGGCCUCACGCGAUUCGAGCGGCCGACGUCUGAUUAGCUAGUUGGUGAGGUAAAGGCUCACCAAGGCGACGAUCAGUAGCGGGUCUGAGAGGAUGAUCCGCCACACUGGGACUGAGACACGGCGCAGAAUCCUACGGGAGGCAGCAGUGGGGAAUUUUGGACAAUGGGCGCAAGCCUGAUCCAGCCAUGCCGCGUGUCUGAAGAAGGCCUUCGGGUUGUAAAGGACUUUUGUCCGGGAGCAAAUACCCAGUGCUAAUAACGCUGGGGGCUGAGAGUACCGGAAGAAUAAGCACCGGCUAACUACGUGCCAGCCGCCGCGGUAAUAC
rnacentral:rRNA from 1 species